rnacentral:tmRNA from 1 species
GGGGUUGACAUGGAUUUGACAGCAAGAUGAGGUGGUAUGUAAGCAUGCAGAGCGCUGAUGAAAGGCUCUUAAAAACUGCAUCAUAAAAAUUUAUCUGGCAACAAUACUUAUGCUCUCGCAGCUUAAACCGAAGUAUAGUAGGUUUGCUUCAUUCCUUUGUUAGACAUUGGAACGAGACGUCGCCCUGAAAGCUCCCUUCCUGAAGCGGUCAGAUCAGCGGCGCAGAAAAUUCGGGAAUAGUUAUAGACAGCCUCGUGUCUAUAAUGAAAUUUUAGAGGAUAAGGUUAUGAUAGGUGGUUCAGGUCUUGUCAUAGCACGAAAACCGAAGGCUGAAAUAAGCAUGUAGAAAGCGUAUGGUCUCCUUGUUUGGACGAGGGUUCAAUUCCCUCCAGCUCCACGA